GCCCGGCCUUUCCUUUUAACUCCUUCGGGCUCGGCCGAGCGGCGGCGACGACCUCUGUCUUUCCCGACGGCGGUCGCUCCAGGAGGUCUGCACUGAAACGGCUGCCGAUGAUAGAAACUGUCGGUGUUCUUAUGUUUGCCGGAUUUCACAGGGUGUCUAUCUGAUAGAGGUGCCUGCUGCACGUGCAGUCUACUGAAAGCGUAAAAACAUACAUUAAUGCAAAGAAAGUUGAAUGGCUCUGGCACUUGGAAGGAAUGUGGAAGAGUCAGGUUUGCUUCCCUGUUUUGCCUGAGGAGCUUAAUCCACGUCUCAGGAGAACUCUCUGACUGCUGCUGCUGCCGCUGGAGCACUCUA